UCUUGUAGUCUUUUGNACCUUCUCACAGGA
rnacentral:piRNA from 1 species